CCGAGUGAGGGCCUUCGGGUCCGACCUCCAACCCCAUGUUAUCUGACCCUGUUGCCUCGGGGGCGACCCGGCCUUCGGGCUCGGGGCCCCCGGUGGACCCCUUAACACUGCAUCGUGACGUCUGAGUCUAAGAUUUUGAAUCAAUCA
rnacentral:misc_RNA from 1 species